rnacentral:rRNA from 1 species
GUCCACGCCCUAAACUAUGCCGACUGGCUAUUUCGAGUAUCGACCCUCGGAGUGGCGAAGCUAACGCGUUAAGUCGGCCGCCUGGGAAGUACGAUCGCAAGAUUAAAACUCAAAGGAAUAGACGGGGACUCGCACAAGCGGUGGAGCAUGUGGUUUAAUUCGACAGUAAGCGAGGAACCUUACCAGGGCUUGAAAUCCAAACGAAAGUCUCCAGAAACGGAGACCCUCUCUCAAGGACGGUUGGACAGGUGCUGCAUGGUUGUCGU